AGCAGAGCCGGCCCGUCUGCCCCCCCCCCCCCCCCCCCGGGGUGUCUCCGGGAUGCGGAGGGUCACUCCGGGCGGCCUGGGCCUGGGACUGGCAACGCGGGCCUCGCAAUCUGCACCUUAAAGCCCGGCCGGGGCGCCCGCGGGAUGGAGCUCGCGAGGCGCUGGUCCCCGCCACGCCCGACGCUGCAGAAAGCCCGACAGGCGAGGACAGCCUGGACCGAGGGCUGAGAUGGACCCAGGGGCGGAGGAGCUCCGGGGGAGCCGAAGCUAAAAACCGCUUCCAGGAAACUGAAACCUCUAGCGGAGGUUGUGCUGCUUCCUCUUCCUCGGCCUUUACCCCUGCCCUUUGCCCUAGGUCAUUUUCAUCCCUUCCAGUUUCCAGGGUUCAAGGAUUCCUAUCCCGGCAGCAGCUCCAGGGGUGCUGUGAUGCCAGGCUGGGCAGGAUCGGAUUGGCCCAUGUGACAUUUCUUCCCCCACUGCCCCCUCAAUGCCAGACACACUGUAGUUUAGACCCUUUCCAUGUGAGGGAGGGCCCCGGGGCCAUAGCCCUGGACCAAGAGGUCGGGAGGUCCUCAAGACUCCGCACAAAGGUCAAAAUAGGGAUGGGCCGGAAGAGAAAACGGAUGCAUCAUGUUCUGCUGAUUGCCAGGGAGGCUUCGCUCGUCUCCCUUGCUCCCAUGCAGCCGUUACCUGGAUUUCCCAGCUGCUGACCAGCAGCAAACCUGGGCCCAUCUUGCACAGUGGUGCAAGGAGAGCUUCGAAAGGAAGGGCUGACUGGCCCCUGCAUCCUGUCCAUUGUCGUAGGUGAAGUAUCAGUACAUCACGGCCACUUGUGUGUGUGUGUGUGUGUGUGUGUGCAUGUGCAUGUGCAUGUGCAUGUGGCCCGUCCAGGUAAGAACAACUUGUACACUUCAAAUGAUUGGGGCAAAUGUCAUGGGGCACUUGGGUGGCUCAGUCGGUUAGGCGUCUGACUCUUGAUUUUGGCUCGGGUCAUGAUCUCAGGGUCGCGAGAUGUGAGAUGGAGCCCUGUGCCCAUCUCUGCGUUAGGCGUGGAGCCUGCUUAAGACUCUCUCCCUUCCCCUCUGCCCCUCUACCCCUCGCCCUCUCUAAAAUAAAUAAAUAAAAAUGGUGGAAAAACAUCAAACGUGAUAUUUCAUGAUGUGAAAAUUACACGAAAUUUAAAUUUCAGGAUCUCUGAGUGAAGUAUGUACUGGAAUACCACCACAUUUUUAAAAAUUUGCACAUUGCUCUGUGGUUGCUUUUAGGGUACGAUGGCAGUGUUGAGUAGUUGCCCCAGAGAGCUGUGUGGCACCUGGUGGACACAGACGGCUGGUGUGACACGAUCCUAGCUCAGCAGCAUUCCGAGCGCCACAUGUAUGACUGCGCCUCCUCGCUGUAUUCCUUACCACCGGCGUAUACCCAUGACGUCAACACAAGGAGGGAGGAGAGGUGGUGGUGCUCUCGCCAUGCUUCUCAGGGCUGGUGGAGGGUGGAUUGUGUUGUUACCGAGUUGGGAGGCAACGUGCACUGAUGUAGUAGCUGUCACGGAGAACCAUGGAUGUUGGCAUCAUCCAUCUAAACACGCACCAGAAUGUUUCUAACAAGAACGCAAUGCGACGGCCAGAAAGAUUAGAAAAUUUAAAAUUGAGUAUCUCAUCCCGGAAUUUCUUCACACAAAUAAAGGAAAAUGAUGCUACAAGCAAAGCAUGUUUCUGAUGGGCUCAUUUGUUAGCAGAGCAGGGGAACCACUGACCUGUGGUAAGUUCAUGAAAUCACACGCGAUGCAGCGGUUGAAGAAACGUGCCCAGAGGAAGUCCGUUUGUUUAGGGCUGUUAGCCUCUCCCCGACAGCAGCUGCUCAAAGUGUUGAGCGUAUUAUGAACAACACCAAGUGUCCAUUAAAAAACCAAGCAAAAAAAAAUCAGCAAAAAAUUAAAUAAAUAAAUAAAUAAUAAAAUAAAAUAAAAAAACCCAAGCAAGUGAUUCUGAGUGGUUGUCCCUGACUCUUGUUGCAAGAGUUGUGACCUGUGUUACCGACAGAGCUCAGACAUGUGAUGAGCCUGUGCCAGGCUAGGAGUCACUGAAAAAUUCAGCUCUGUCAACAGUCUGUGUGCAAACAACUACAGGCAGGAAGGUUUUCAAAGUGGAGAAAAUGGAUUCAGUCCAACCUGAAGUGGAAUCUGCUAAGAUGUGUUCCAAUUGGUGGCAGAAAAAAUAUGUGUGGAAUUGAAAAGGCUUGACUAGGACAAACUCACAGAACCUGUGAUAAUACCAGGUGUUAGAACCUAUGCUUGCAAUAUGUUGACGUGUUGUUUCAAUCAACAGGCGUUUUUUGAAGAACAUUUGAAUUGCAUUACUGAACCAGUAUUGUCAACAGUAAACUUUGUUCACUCUUGGGGACUGAACUGUCAGCAGUUCCGUGAGUUUUUAUUUUUUUAUUUUUUAAAUAUUUAUUUAUUUAUUCACAAGAGACACAGAGAGACAGAGGGCCAGAGACACAGGCAGGGGGAGAAGCAGGCUCCAUGCAGGAAGCCCGAUGUGGGACUCGAUCCCCGGCCUCCAGGAUCACACCCUGGGCCAAAGGCAGGCUCUAAACCGCUGAACCACCCAGGGAUCCCCUCCAUGAGUUUUUAUUAGCGAUAGUCGCUGAAUAUCCUGCCAUGGUCUAUCACACAGCAGCUCAGUCGUGGUGAAGUUUUAUUGCAAUUUUUGAGCUUAGGACCGAGACUGAACUUUUUCUGAAUGAGAAGGACUGCUCUCAACUACAGUUAUGAAACUCCAAAGAGCCCUGGAAAUUAGCUUUGGCUGCAGUCUUGAUUUCUUCAUGAAUUCUGUCUAAAAUCACAAGGCAUAAUAAUGUUUAUACGUGGAAGUCAUACCAUGGUAUGACUAUAAACAUGAACUAAUGUUGGAAUCACAACUUUUUUUUUAAAAAAAUACUUUAUUUACUUAUUCAUGAGAGACACAGGCAGAGGGAGAUGCAGGCUCCCUGAGGGGAACCCGAUGCAGGACUCGAUCCCAGGACCCCGGGAUCACGACCUGAGCUGAAGGCAGACGCUCAGCCACUGAGCCACCCGGGCGUCCCCAUCCCCACAACUAACUUCAGACUGCAUCAUCACACUUCCUGUGUUGUCAUAAGUUAACACAAGAAGCGAGAGUUCCAUUCCCACCCGUGUGUGCAGCAGAUGUAGUAUCUGAGCUCAAACUGCAGUUCAGGCGGUGUUCUAUAGACCUAAAUGCAAACCCCAAAGAAAUCUCCAUAUUGCAAAAUCCAUCCAGCUUCGGUUGAGGGAGCUUCCAUCGAACCCUCAGUUGAAGCGAUUAAGCUGCCACAAGGCAAACCUCAAGAGAAAAGUCUAAUAGGACUCCAUAAAUGCCUUUCGAGUGGUAAGUACGCCCGUCUGACAAUCCUGUGCUUAGAGCCUGAUACCAGCCUUGUGAAGAAUCUGUCCAUGUGAAGACUUUUUCAAAGAUGAAAUCUGUAAAAUCUUAUUAUAGAUCAGCAUUAUCAGAAACGUGGGCAACUGAUUUUGAUGAUAGGCAACUCUAGCUUUGAACCUCAAUUCAGUGAGAUGUCCCCCCCCCCCCAAAUUAAAAUUAUCCUUGGCGCACCUGGGUGGCACAGUUGGUUGAGCAUCUGACUCUUUUUUUUUUUUUUUUAAGAUUUUAUUUAUUUAUUCAUGAGAGUCACAGAGAGAGAGAGAGAGAGAGAGAAGCAGAGCGAGAAGCAGGCUCCAUGCACCGGGAGCCCGACGUGGGAUUCGAUCCCGGGUCUCCAGGAUCAUGCCCUGGGCCAAAGGCAGGCACCAAACCACUGCGCCACCCAGGGAUCCCUAGCAUCUGACUCUUGAUUUCAGCUCAGGUCAUGAUCUCAGGGUCGUGAGAUUGAGCCCCGAGUCGGACUUUUGCUGGGCGGGGAGCCUGCUUAAGAUUCUCUCUCUCUCUCUCUCUCUCUCUCUCUCUGCUGCCUCACAACCCCACACUUGCUUUCUCUCUCUCAAAAAAGAGAAAAAGUAUUUUCAUUAGUAGACUUGAUGACUAUUAGGUCUACUAGUAGUAGUAGUACAAAAAAAAAUAGUACUCAAUUAUUAUUGUAUGUGAUUUUCACCAAAUUUUUUCUUUUAUAAUAUAAAUCUACAAUAUCCUAGAUUGUCGCCUCUUGGCCCAGAAAACCUAAAAUAUU
rnacentral:lncRNA from 1 species